rnacentral:rRNA from 1 species
GAAAGUAAAGAAGGGCGCAUGGCGGAUGCCUUGGCUCUCGGAGGCGAUGAAGGACGUGAUAAGCUGCGAUAAGCUUUGGGGAGGUGCAAAUGACCUUUGAUCCAGAGAUUUCCGAAUGGGACAACCCAAUAUCUUGAAGAGGUAUUAUCUUACUAUGUAAGAGGCUAACGCAGGGAACUGAAACAUCUUAGUACCUGCAGGAAAAGAAAAUAAACAAUGAUUCCCCCAGUAGUGGCGAGCGAACGGGGAACAGCCCAAACCAUCCAUGUUACGGCAUGGGUGGGGUUGUAGGACUACGCCGUUGCAUGAAGACAUCAGAGAAGAACUUUCUGGAAAGAAAGACCAUAGAGCAUGACAGUUGCGUAUUCGAAUGUUGUCGAAGCAUAGUAGUAUCCUGAGUAGCGCGGAGCACGAGGAAUUCUGCGUGAAUCUGCCGGGACCAUCCGGUAAGGCUAAAUACUCCCGAGAGACCGAUAGCGAACCAGUACCGUGAGGGAAAGGUGAAAAGCACUUCGAACAGAAGAGUGAAAUAGUUCCUGAAACCGUGCGCCUACAAGCGGUCGGAGCUCGUUAAUGAGUGACGGCGUGCCUUUUGCAUAAUGAACCUACGAGUUGCCUUUGCCGGCAAGGUUAAGUGUGACGACACACGUAUCCGAAGCGAAAGCGAGUCUGAACAGGGCGUAUAGUCGGCAGUGGCAGACGCGAAACCAAGUGAUCUACCCUUGGCCAGGUUGAAGGCUGGGUAACACCAGCUGGAGGACCGCACCAAUAAGCGUUGAAAAGCUUCUGGAUGAGCUGAGGGUAGGGGUGAAAGGCUAAUCAAACUUGGAGAUAGCUCGUACUCCCCGAAAUGCAUUUAGGUGCAGCCUUGCGGGUUACUGAUGUGAGGUAGAGCGACUGAUAAGAUGCGAGGGCUUCACCGCCUAUCAAGUCUUGACAAACUCCGAAUGCGCAUCAGUUCUACCGCAGGAGUGAGGGCAUGGGUGCUAAGGUCCGUGCCCGAGAGGAGAAGAAUCCGGACCACCUGCUAAGGUCCCGAAAUGACAGCUAAGUUAAACUAACGAAGUCUGACUGCUAAGACAGCUAGGAUGUUGGCUUGGAAGCAGCCAUUCAUUUAAAGAGUGCGUAACAGCUCACUAGUCGAGGAGUCGGGCGUGGAUAAUAAUCGGGUAUCAAGUUGUCUACCGAAGCAGUGGGAUCAUUAAUAUGAUCGGUAGGGGAGCAUUCCAGUCAGCGUCGAAGGCGUACCGUGAGGUAUUCUGGAGCGUCUGGAAAAGCAAAUGUAGGUAUAAGUAACGAUAAAGGGGGCGGGAAACCCCCUCGCCGAAAGACUAAGGUUUCCUGAUCAACGCUAAUCGGAUCAGGGUCAGUCGGGUCCUAAGGCUCAGCCGAACGGCGAUGCCGAUGGCAGAAACGGUUAAUAUUCCGUUACUACCUUCAGGAGUGACGUGGAGACGCAGUAGUGACAGUGCCGCCAUCUGACGGAAUAGAUGGUUGAAGGGUGUAGGAGUCGAUCAUGGCAGGCAAAUCCACCAUGAGAUCCGAACCUGACAGUAUGCCGCGUCCUUCGGGACAAGGCAAUAGUGCGCGUAAGCAUGCUGCCGAGAAAAUCCGCUAAACUUAAUCCUGUAGGUACCCGUACCGCAAACGGACACACGUAGUCGGGAUGAAUAUUCUAAGGCGCUUGAGUGAUUCACGGUUAAGGAACUAGGCAAACUGACCCUGUAACUUCGGGAUAAAGGGUCCCUACCCUUUUAUGGGAGGGCGCAGAGAAUCGGUCCAGGCAACUGUUUAACAAAAACACAGGGCUGUGCCAAAUCGAAAGAUCCAGUAUACAGCCUGACACCUGCCCGGUGCUGGAAGGUUAAGAGGAGAUGUCAUCGAUAAGAGAAGCGUUGAAUUGAAGCCCCAGUAAACGGCGGCCGUAACUAUAACGGUCCUAAGGUAGCGAAAUUCCUUGUCGGGU